AACCACCGGCUGUGCCGGUGGAGCGGAAAAAGCUUUAGCGUUGAGAGGGACAAAAAAACUCCUUUUGAUGUAAAAUAAGCUUGCGGUCUGGCAACUGCAAGAGACAUCAAAAG
rnacentral:sRNA from 1 species